rnacentral:misc_RNA from 3 species
AACGCACAUUGCGCCUUUUGGUAUUCCGAGAGGCACGCCUGUCUGAGCGUCAGUAAAACCUUCGGCUUUGUAAAUUUUAUUUACCUCGCCGGCGUUGGCGGCGGGGGGGUUUACUCCUCCCUUCGCCUAAACACUGUCAGCGGGGUUAAAUUCAGAAACCAAACGAUUAGUAGAAAUAUUUAUCGGAUCUGGUGCCUAUGAAUUUCCGCUAUAUAAAAACGAGUCCCUUAAAAGACUCAACACUUUUUGACCUCAGAUCAGACGAGGAUACCCGCUGAACUUAA